rnacentral:rRNA from 1 species
AACGCUAGCUACAGGCUUAACACAUGCAAGUCGAGGGGCAGCAUGGUCUUAGCUUGCUAAGGCCGAUGGCGACCGGCGCACGGGUGAGUAACACGUAUCCAACCUGCCGUCUACUCUUGGACAGCCUUCUGAAAGGAAGAUUAAUACAAGAUGGCAUCAUGAGUCCGCAUGUUCACAUGAUUAAAGGUAUUCCGGUAGACGAUGGGGAUGCGUUCCAUUAGAUAGUAGGCGGGGUAACGGCCCACCUAGUCUUCGAUGGAUAGGGGUUCUGAGAGGAAGGUCCCCCACAUUGGAACUGAGACACGGUCCAAACUCCUACGGGAGGCAGCAGUGAGGAAUAUUGGUCAAUGGGCGAGAGCCUGAACCAGCCAAGUAGCGUGAAGGAUGACUGCCCUAUGGGUUGUAAACUUCUUUUAUAAAGGAAUAAAGUCGGGUAUGGAUACCCGUUUGCAUGUACUUUAUGAAUAAGGAUCGGCUAACUCCGUGCCAGCAGCCGCGGUAAUACGGAGGAUCCGAGCGUUAUCCGGAUUUAUUGGGUUUAAAGGGAGCGUAGAUGGAUGUUUAAGUCAGUUGUGAAAGUUUGCGGCUCAACCGUAAAAUUGCAGUUGAUACUGGAUAUCUUGAGUGCAGUUGAGGCAGGCGGAAUUCGUGGUGUAGCGGUGAAAUGCUUAGAUAUCACGAAGAACUCCGAUUGCGAAGGCAGCCUGCUAAGCUGCAACUGACAUUGAGGCUCGAAAGUGUGGGUAUCAAACAGGAUUAGAUACCCUGGUAGUCCACACGGUAAACGAUGAAUACUCGCUGUUUGCGAUAUACAGCAAGCGGCCAAGCGAAAGCGUUAAGUAUUCCACCUGGGGAGUACGCCGGCAACGGUGAAACUCAAAGGAAUUGACGGGGGCCCGCACAAGCGGAGGAACAUGUGGUCUAAUUCGAUGAUACGCGAGGAACCUUACCCGGGCUUAAAUUGCAGAUGAAUUACGGUGAAAGCCGUAAGCCGCAAGGCAUCUGUGAAGGUGCUGCAUGGUUGUCGUCAGCUCGUGCCGUGAGGUGUCGGCUUAAGUGCCAUAACGAGCGCAACCCUUGUUGUCAGUUACUAACAGGUCAUGCUGAGGACUCUGACAAGACUGCCAUCGUAAGAUGUGAGGAAGGUGGGGAUGACGUCAAAUCAGCACGGCCCUUACGUCCGGGGCUACACACGUGUUACAAUGGGGGGUACAGAGGGCCGCUACCACGCGAGUGGAUGCCAAUCCCAAAAACCUCUCUCAGUUCGGACUGGAGUCUGCAACCCGACUCCACGAAGCUGGAUUCGCUAGUAAUCGCGCAUCAGCCACGGCGCGGUGAAUACGUUCCCGGGCCUUGUACACACCGCCCGUCAAGCCAUGGGAGCCGGGGGUACCUGAAGUGCGUAACCGCGAGGAGCGCCCUAGGGUAAAACUGGUGACUGG